GCGGGAGUAGCUCAGCGGUAGAGCAUCUCGUUGCCAACGAGAAGGUCGCCGGUUCAAAUCCGGUCUCCCGCU
rnacentral:tRNA from 1 species